AUACGUAGGGGGCGAGCGUUGUCCGGAAUGAUUGGGCGUAAAGGGCGCGUAGGCGGCCCGGUAAGUCUGGAGUGAAAGUCCUGUUUUUAAGAUGGGAAUUGCUUUGGGUACUGUCGGGCUUGAGUGCAAGAGAGGUAAGUGGAAUUCCCAGUGUAGCGGUGAAAUGCGUAGAGAUUGGGAGGAACACCAGUGGCGAAGGCGACUUACUGGACUGUAACUGACGCUGAGGCGCGAAAGUGUGGGGAGCAAACAGGAAUAGAUACCCUGGUAGUCCACACGGUAAACGAUGAAUGCUAGGUGUAGGGGGUAUCGACCCCUUCUGUGCCGCAGUCAACACAAUAAGCAUUCCGCCUGGGGAGUACGGCCGCAAGGUUGAAACUCAAAUGAAUUGACGGGG
rnacentral:rRNA from 1 species